UGGGGAAUAUUGCACAAUGGGGGGAACCCUGAUGCAGCGACGCCGCGUGAGCGAAGAAGUAUUUCGGUAUGUAAAGCUCUAUCAGCAGGGAAGAAAAUGAACGGUACCUGACUAAGAAGCUCCGGCUAAAUACGUGCC
rnacentral:rRNA from 1 species